rnacentral:rRNA from 1 species
GAUGAACGCUGGCGGCGUGCCUAAUACAUGCAAGUCGAGCGAACGGACGAGAAGCUUGCUUCUCUGCUGUUAGCGGCGGACGGGUGAGUAACACGUGGAUAACCUACCUCUAAGACUGGGAUAACUUCGGGAAACAGGAUCUAAUACCGGAUAAUAUUUUGAACCGCAUGGUUCAAAAGUAAAAGACGGUCUUGCUGUCACUUAUAGAUGGAUCCGCGCUGGAUUAGCUAGUUGGUAAGGUAACGGCUUACCAAGGCGACGAUGCAUAGCCGACCUGAGAGGAUGAUCGGCCACACUGGAACUGAGACACGGUCCAGACUCCUACGGGAGGCAGCAGUAGGGAAUCUUCCGCAAUGGGCGAAAGCCUGACGGAGCAACGCCGCGUGAGUGAUGAAGGUCUUCGGAUCGUAAAACUCUGUUAUUAGGGAAGAACAUAUGUGUAAGUAACUGUGCACAUCUUGACGGUACCUAAUCAAAAAGCCACGGCUAACUACGUG